AUGGCUCAGUGGUUAGAGCACUGGUGCUCUUCCAGAGGACCCAGGUUCAGUUCCUGGU
rnacentral:tRNA from 1 species